CGGUCCUACGGAUUGUAAACCUCUUUUGCCGGGGAGCAACGGGGUCCUUGCGAGGGCCUUAUGAGAGUACCCGGAGAAAAAGCAUCGGCUAACUCCGUGCC
rnacentral:rRNA from 1 species